CGUUAAAGAAUUUUUGGCUACUCAACAGGUUGUUCAAUAGCAAAUACAACACUACUUAACACACAAGAUUUCAAAGUGUCGGACUAAAGGCACAAAUUAUGUGGACACCAUACUAUAAAAGUAAUCAACUGCCAAAUUCGAAAAUGCUUAAACAUGUUGAAAGAUUAUCGAAGGAUACUUUGGGUGGUAAGCUUCUAUUCUAAAACUUUACCUAUUAAUUUCAUUAUUGUCUAUAA